GACGAACGCUGGCGGCGUGCUUAACACAUGCCAGUCGAACGGAAAGGCCCUGCUUUUGUGGGGUGCUCGAGUGGCGAACGGGUGAGUAACACGUGAGUAACCUGCCCUUGACUUUGGGAUAACUUCAGGAAACUGGGGCUAAUACCGGAUAGGAGCUCCUGCUGCAUGGUGGGGGUUGGAAAGUUUCGGCGGCUGGGGAUGGACUCGCGGCUUAUCAGCUUGUUGGUGGGGUAGUGGCUUACCAAGGCUUUGACGGGUAGCCGGCCUGAGAGGGUGACCGGCCACAUUGGGACUGAGAUACGGCCCAGACUCCUACGGGGGGCAGCAGUGGGGAAUAUUGCACAAUGGGCGGAAGCCUGAUGCAGCAACGCCGCGUGCGGGAUGACGGCCUUCGGGUUGUAAACCGCUUUCGCCUGUGACGAAGCGUGAGUGACGGUAAUGGGUAAAGAAGCACCGGCUAACUACGUG
rnacentral:rRNA from 1 species